UAGGGAAUCUUCGGCAAUGGGGGCAACCCUGACCGAGCAACGCCGCGUGAGUGAAGAAGGUUUUCGGAUCGUAAAGCUCUGUUGUAAGUCAAGAACGAGUGUGAGAGUGGAAAGUUCACACUGUGACGGUAGCUUACCAGAAAGGGACGGCUAACUACGUGCCAGCAGCCGCGGUAAUACGUAGGUCCCGAGCGUUGUCCGGAUUUAUUGGGCGUAAAGCGAGCGCAGGCGGUUUGAUAAGUCUGAAGUUAAAGGCUGUGGCUCAACCAUAGUUCGCUUUGGAAACUGUCAAACUUGAGUGCAGAAGGGGAGAGUGGAAUUCCAUAUGUAGCGGUGAAAUGCGUAGAUAUAUGGAGGAACACCGGUGGCGAAAGCGGCUCUCUGGUCUGUAACUGACGCUGAGGCUCGAAAGCGUGGGGAGCGAACAGGAUUAGAUACCCUGGUAGUCCGCGCCGUAAACGAUGAGUGCUAGGUGUUGGAUCCUUUCCGGGAUUCAGUGCCGCAGCUAACGCAUUAAGCACUCCGCCUGGGGAGUACGACCGCAAGGUUG
rnacentral:rRNA from 1 species